AAAUAAUACAUAUUUGAACUUCUAAUGAAUACUUCUUGUUUGAUGUUUAUUUAUUAGCAUCUUAAGGAAGAAGACACUGGGACUGAUCAUGAAGAAUUCAGACACCUUUGAAGUUUUCUUUGUAUUAGUCCUGUAUUGAGUUGAGAGUAGGAGUGGAUUAUCCCCAAAGAUCCUUCCAAGUCCAAAAACGUGUUGGAGCCAGUCCAUUGAAAACCUCAAAGCACAGAAGGAAACUUUUAUGUGGUGACAUCUUAUUGACAGCAGCAUUCGUGUCUUACUUUGGACCCUCCAUAAAACAAUGUCACCAGGAACCAAAGAGACAUUUCUGAUUUCCUCCUGUAAAGUAUGCACUUUUAAAAGAAGCUUCAGUCUAAAAGCCAGCAGUGAGGACCAGACGUGCCCA
rnacentral:lncRNA from 12 species